CCUACGGGAGGCAGCAGUAGGGAAUAUUGCUCAAUGGGGGAAACCCUGAAGCAGCAACGCCGCGUGGAGGAUGAAGGUUUUCGGAUUGUAAACUCCUUUUGUUAGAGAAGAUAAUGACGGUAUCUAACGAAUAAGCACCGGCUAACUCCGUGCCAGCAGCCGCGGUAAUACGGAGGGUGCAAGCGUUACUCGGAAUCACUGGGCGUAAACGGCGCGUAGGCGGGAUAGCAAGUCAGAUGUGAAAUCCUAUGGGCUAACCAUAGAACAGCAUUUGAAACUGUUAUUCGAGAGUAGGGGAGAGGUAGGUGGAAUGCUUGGUGUAGGGGUAAAAUCCGUAGAGAUCAAGAGGAAUACUGAUUGCGAAGGCGACCUGCUAGAGCAUAACUGACGCUGAUGCGCGAAAGCGUGGGGAGCAAACAGGAUUAGAUACCCUUGUAGUC
rnacentral:rRNA from 1 species